CUCUACCUCAUCUCCUUGCAUUGCAUUUUGGGGGAUUUCUAGGGGCCUAUCCUCCUGUCACCAAAUUCUUUCCCAAUCUCAGCUGAGUCUCCUGAUGAGGACGGCCAAGGCAUUCUUCCUUUCUGGAUCCCAGCAGAAUUCCCUGAUGAGAAUCCGCCUUUCUGUGUGAUCACCUGAUGCUGCCCAGGGGGAGCUGAGGCCUGUGCAAAGGGAGGUGUGCUGGUCCGGCUGUGACACGGCCCUUCAGUGUAAAAUGAGUAAUCUUCCUCGCCCUGGAGGAGAGAGGAAGAGCUCCACCCCACAUUCACCCCCAAAAUGUAUGGAGUAAAUAAACACUGAACAUCUUCAGGAUGGCCUGACAGAGACUGAAAUGAUGGGGACAACUCACAGGCCCAGAGGGAGAGGAAGAUGACAGCUUCCAGUGGUGGCAUCCUGUGCACCAAGCAGCUCCCAGGGAGAAGGAAAACUGGCCUCAUCCUGCACCCUGACUCACCUGCCUCCUUCUCCCCUGCACAACUGCUCCCUUAACCAUGAAGCCCUCAGGACCAUGAGGCUGUGGUUGGCAUCAAAUCAUCUUAGGAAACAGAUCAGGUGUGUUGACUCCAGAGACAGAGUUUUGCUCAACUGACAUCUGGACCAGAUACACUGAUUAACUAUCCCCUAAGCCAGCGGUUCUCAACCUGUGGGUCGAACGACCCUUUCACAGGGGUCGCCUAAGACCAUCA